GUGGUGUGGUGCCUACUGUAAAUUACUUUGAAUUUGUACUCGAGUAAAAGUAGAAGUAAUUAACAACAAGACGACUUGAGUAAGAAUAAAAAGUAUUGGAAGCAAAACUUACUUAAGUAAAAAGUACAAAAGUAUCCUUAAAAAAUACUUGAAGUACAAAGUAAAAGUAAAAGUACUAUAAUUGUCUAUAGCAUGUAGGAGGGGGGAGGGGGGGGACUUCUUCAAUAGAUUGACAUACAAAAGACACAAAACAGCACACAUGUGUGUACCAUAAUAUACAAUAUUUCACAGCAUGGUCUACUUUCCAGACACUGUUGGAGAUAUAAGAAAUCCAUUAAAUAAAUAAUGGUUAUAAGUAAGCCACAAACGAGAGAUACCUGACUAUUAGCUAUCCCAAAAUUAAAAUAAAUCGGUGAUUUAUCUCACGUAAAAUAAACAAAUGUGAGAAAGUAAC